CCUACGGGUGGCAGCAGUGAGGAAUAUUGGUCAAUGGUCGGAAGUCUGAACCAGCCAUGCCGCGUGCAGGAAGACGGCUCUAUGAGUUGUAAACUGCUUUUGUACAAGGAUAAACUUCAAUACGUGUAUUCAGCUGUAAGUACUGCACGAAUAAGGAUCGGCUAACUCCGUGCCAGCAGCCGCGGUAAUACGGAGGAUCCAAGCGUUAUCCGGAUUUAUUGGGUUUAAAGGGUGCGUAGGCGGAUUGAUAAGUUUGAGGUGAAAUGCCCGGGCUUAACUCGGGAACUGCGUCUAAUACUGGGGAGCUAGAGAGUAGAUGCGGUAGGCGGAAUGUAUGGUGUAGCGGUGAAAUGCUUAGAGAUCAUACAGAACACCGAUUGCGAAGGCAGCUUACGAAUCUAUAUCUGACGUUGAGGCACGAAAGCGUGGGGAGCAAACAGGAUUAGAUACCCGGGUAGUC
rnacentral:rRNA from 1 species